ACCACGCGACAUGGUGGUGCUCGAGCCCGAGACUCCCGCAGCUACCACUGCUAAUCGCGCAUCCAGCAGCGCGCCGUGUGGCGUCAUCCUUGGGCGAACGCUAGCACUCGAGCAGUUCGCAUGCCGACGAAGAGGCCGCCUGGAGCGAGCCCACUGAGGGCUCUGGUGGAGGUCGACGGAUUUGUCUGCUUGCUCGCUCACCUCUACCAAUUCGAUCCCCAUUCAAUCCUCAAUUCAUGUCGCUGCCGAUGGUCGCCGCCAGAAGUUAUUCUUUGCCGCUAAUCUUAUCCUCGCGGACCUCCUUUGCCCCAGGCUCCCAUCCUAACCACGGACUGGUUGGAUUUAAUUUGGGUUCCUAUCAAUGUCUUCAUCGUUCCUAGCAUGAGCAAAUGGGAGAGGGAGCAGUUCAUGUGCGGCGCUACUGUGAGAGGAGAAGAAAAAACUUUUAUGGGACAAUUGCAAUCUGUGCAGAGAAGUGCACCAUUAACCAUCAGCUUUAACCUACACUGUUCUAGAAGAACGGUGGCUGCUGUUGAGGAGGCAACGCAGAGGAGGCAACACAUUCUGCUGAUCCCUAGUCCCCAGCCCCACGCGCCCAAACCUCUCGGGAUCGGCAGGGAUAGAGGCAACAACCAAAACGCCACAACCUCGAUCUUCGCGAUGGCGGCAGCGAUGACCAACGAUCCAUCUUGGCACAGCCAUUGUCGACUCACCUCGGCUUAUCAAGGUUUGGCACUUUGUCCGGCAACCCGCGACACAAUUUUGGCAUGACGGCGGCUCCAAUUAUGGCAAAGAAUUGACGCAUAAACCCAAACCCUCCCUCCCCUGUGGCGAAUCAUCUCAGCAUCGUCCUUCGAUGCAAACGCAUCAUGACACAUCGUGAGCUAGGGUUUUGGGGACCCGCGGACCAGAGCAAAUGUGGAUUCGGAGGGAGACGUGGGUGGCCAGAUGGAAGCACGACAGUAAGGCUGCGAUGGUUUGAUCCGACAAGUCAGAUAGAAAUUAUACGGAAACAAUGUUGUUGUGAUUAUCUCUAGCCUAGAUUGCAUUAACCCUAAUAGUAGAAUUUAUUUAGACAACUAUACAAGUGGAAAAAUAACAAGACAUAUUAUCACCGACCAUGCUAUGUUAGAGCUUCCUAGAGCGUUCGAAUAUGUUUCUCCCGGUGCAACGCACGGGCACAUUUGCUAGUAAAUGGUAAAUUGCAGAAAAGUAAGAUAAAUUUAGGGUUUAUAUUUCUUGAUUGAUUGCAAGGGGAUACAAGGGCAGGCUUAUAUAGACCUAACCAACUACAACAUGACAACAUAGGUGGAAUACCGAUAGUACCCUUACAUCUAAUAACCCACUACUCCAUAGCACUACUAGUCCCUGACAACAACCCAUAAUGAGAAUAUAAAGGGAGUGGAGAGGUAAACCACUGUACAGUUCCACAAACUGCAAAGGAUAUCCAACCUAAUGAAGAGAGUAAGGUGGUCCCAUGGCAACCCCAUCAACAGGCAGCAAAAACUCACAGGCAACACCUGCCAAGGACAUCUUAGAGGCUGCCGAUUCAGACUUUGGAGAGAACAUAGGCUCUACAACAGAGAGCAAAAAAGGAAAAAAACACAAAUCAACUAUGACGUCCGCGAGAAAAGUGCAACCAAUGAAAAGAGAGAGGUAACACGGAAAUGUUCCCACCUAUAAACAGAAGUUUCACCUGACCCUCUAAGCACUAGAGUCAGGACAAAGAGUACCUUUUGUGCACUCCAGCCGUUGUGGUUUAGAAAUUGAAGAUGCAGAGGGAGUUCAACUGGCGAAUCAGCCAUCAAGCUACCGAUUUAUAUCAACUUAUCGUCAAAAUAUAAUGUGUAAUAUAAUUGGCCUAUGUGUCAUUUCUGGAGCAACUACUUCUGUUGUAUCAUCUACUGUGGUACAAAUCUGUUUUACUUUAAAAUGUGUCAUUGAUAUCAUCUACUACUACUUUUGUAAGUAGUUGCAGUUAACUGCAAUCUUUUGAAAGUAAAGAAGGACAAAAUGCA